rnacentral:rRNA from 2 species
GGGGAUUAGUGGCGAACGGGUGAGUAACACGGUGGGCAAUCUGCCCUGCACUCUGGGACAAGCCCUGGAAACGGGGUCUAAUACCGGAUAUGACUGUCCAUCGCAUGGUGGAUGGUGUAAAGCUCCGGCGGUGCAGGAUGAGCCCGCGGCCUAUCAGCUUGUUGGUGAGGUAGUGGCUCACCAAGGCGACGACGGGUAGCCGGCCUGAGAGGGCGACCGGCCACACUGGGACUGAGACACGGCCCAGACUCCUACGGGAGGCAGCAGUGGGGAAUAUUGCACAAUGGGCGAAAGCCUGAUGCAGCGACGCCGCGUGAGGGAUGACGGCCUUCGGGUUGUAAACCUCUUUCAGCAGGGAAGAAGCGAAAGUGACGGUACCUGCAGAAGAAGCGCCGGCUAACUACGUGCCAGCAGCCGCGGUAAUACGUAGGGCGCAAGCGUUGUCCGGAAUUAUUGGGCGUAAAGAGCUCGUAGGCGGCUUGUCACGUCGGUUGUGAAAGCCCGGGGCUUAACCCCGGGUCUGCAGUCGAUACGGGCAGGCUAGAGUUCGGUAGGGGAGAUCGGAAUUCCUGGUGUAGCGGUGAAAUGCGCAGAUAUCAGGAGGAACACCGGUGGCGAAGGCGGAUCUCUGGGCCGAUACUGACGCUGAGGAGCGAAAGCGUGGGGAGCGAACAGGAUUAGAUACCCUGGUAGUCCACGCCGUAAACGGUGGGCACUAGUGUGGGCAACAUUCCACGUUGUCCGUGCC